rnacentral:lncRNA from 1 species
AAUUGUGGAAUAAAUGAAUCCUAAUUUCUUUCGUGUCAAUUGAAACCUCAAAUCGAGUUGUUGAAAAUUUUGCCUUUUGCUUAUUUCUAAGUAGGGAGCAUUAUUGAAUAAAUUUGGUUUUGGAAUCUAAAGUUGGGGAGAGUAAAAUGAGAAGUGAUUAGAAACUUGGAAAAGUGAGUUUUUAUGAAAGGGUGAAAAUUUGAAAAGAAACAAGAAAAAGAAAAUACCCUUGAAGCCAUAGAGCAAAGAAAAAAGUAAAGAAAAAAAAUCAAAGAAAAUGCUCAUGGUUGUGUGGAUGUAAUAAGAAAAAGAAAAAAAAAAUAGGGAUCAAAGAAAGGGAAAUUGUGUAGAGUUGAAUGUUUGGGAAUGCUCCCUUAGGAUAGGCAACUUUGUUGAAUUCUCUUAAUCAUAUCCUUUCUUGUAACCUAAGCCACAUUACAACCUUUGAAAGACCUCUUGAUUCUCAUUUUUCACAUGAUUUGGUAUUUGUUGUGAUAACCGCAUGAUUUGAGUUGUUGUUGAUUUAAUUGCUUGGAUGAGUGAAAGUAACCCUUCAUGUUAUUCAUCAUUAUUAUGAUGUGUGUGUAAGUUUGAUUCAAUUU